GUUGUGGCUCAGCGGUAGAGCGCUCGCCUAGCAAGUGCAAGGCCCUGGGUUCGAUCCUCAGCACACA
rnacentral:tRNA from 1 species